UUUUGCUCUUACCUUUUCUCACCGAUAACAGCCAGCAGUAAUGAAUGUAGACUCUUGCACAUUCUCCUUCUCUCUGUCUAACCAGCCCAGACUGGCAGUUAUGUAAGCUUCCUUGUUCCGCUCUGCACAUUUAACAGUAGACAUUGUAGUCAUCCAGCAUUUUUCUGAAGACUGCAUAAACCAGGUUGGUUGUUUAACUCUGAGUGGUUAGCUCCUGUAUUUUGGACAAAACUAGGUCAUUCAGGAUGGUUCAUGGAAUCAAAGACAGACAGUUUGCUUUUAAUAAUAUUAUCUGGUAUUAACUUACCACAUCAGGUUUCCUCACUUCUGUCCCCAAUGAAUUAAGUUUUCAUUUUUUUUUUUUUUCUGAGCCAAGCAAUACAUUGAACUGAAAGCCUACAAGGAAAUAUUAAGAAGCAAAAUGGUCUGUUGUUGGGAUGAAUUUAUAUUAUGCAACAUAAAACACUCAAAUAUACCCAUAUAUAGUGAUAUAUCUGGUUAUUUCUCUUGGUUAUGGCAUUUCAGCAAUACUGUCUUAUUUUUAAAAUAAGGCCCAUUCGAUGAUAAAUUUACACCUAUCACCUUCAAUAUCUCUCUGCUAGUUUCCUUUUUGUUGCAUUUAAGACUAGUAAAAGUGUGGAGGCUUAGGGUAUUGAUGCUACGCAGCUGGUAAGUGUGUCCUGAUUAAAAGCCCAGGUUCAUUCCACUGCACUGGCAGAGAGGGGGCGGGGGGAAAGCAUUAUUUCUGAGGGUAAUUCACAUAUCCAAGCUAUGGAGGUUUUCUUGAACAGAUGGUUCUCUGCCAUGGAAGGUGACCAAGCUCUAAUUGAUCAUUCCAUUCCCCCCUCAUUUCAGCUUUCUCCCGAUAAUAUAGCUAAGUACCUAGAAUUACAGUUGCAAAGACUGGAAGGUCUUUUCUUUUGUUCUUAAACUUGCUAGUUGAGAAAGGUAUGGAUGUGUUGAGGCCCUGCUGUACAUGGUGUGUGGAUAUUAUCCUGCAAGAUGACCUUCGGAAUGAGGACAAGAACUGUGCAUCAUUCAGCCUACAAUUCUAAUAUUUUUUAUGUAUUCCACUUAAUCCUUGACAUUAGAAUUUAUUUUUAAUUCAGUAAGUACUUAUCAGGCUUUUGCUGUAGACCUGCUACUACUGAAAUUCUCUUUAAUUUUAGAUAUUUCACAUUUUAAUUUCAGAUGAAGGCCAUUCCUUGUGUCUAGAAAUUCAGUGUUAUACUCAUGUUGGUUUUAUUUUUUAAAUCUCUAAUAAUUCAGUUGCAAUCUGUAUCGUUACCUGAUAUCACUGUAUUCAGGAAAGUAUUUCUUUAGGGAAGGAAUUCUGUGACAUUAAGGAUUAUAACAAAGUUCAACUCUGUUUCUGAAAUCCUGGUAAGAUGUGUUUUCUGAUGACGUAUGUAUGCCUCGUGCAAGUGUUGUGAGACUCAUUAAUGGCUUGCCAAGUCUUUAGCAGCUGUCUCUUUUAACAGUUUUGUGACAUUUUUGAAAUAAUUUUAAUCUAAAAAUAAAUCUAGAUAACAUCCCUACAAAAAAAUUUCUUGCUCUCUGUUAAUACUCCUGGAUUCUGAUUUCCUUGCCCAAAGGAUCAUCAAAUUGCCCAUAUAUCCCAAAUAUGUCACCAAAUGAAAACGUCAUUGAAUAUAGUUUUAAAUAAUAUGUCUUAUUUUAGAUUGGUAGAAGGUCUGAGCAAUGGUUUUGCAGUUUAAAUACUUCUGUUAGAUUUACAUGGUUUAUUUUAGAGGAGAGAAUUAACUUGUUUUUGCCUGACGCCUAGGCAAUGCAGUACUCGCAGCUUCCCAGUUGCUUUGGACUUUGCCGAUCCUUGUCUGAUCUUGGCAUAACAACCAAGAAAGGAAGGAAAAAUAUUUUGCCAUAAAAUCUGGCUUCCUGCACUUCCUACAGUUAAUGGUACUUUGAAGGAUUCAAGCAACCUGCCCAGUCUUUGCAUGGAGGCCUCUUUAAUGUAUUUGAUAGCAAACAAACUGCCCUCUACUCUAGAGGGAGACACCGUCUUCACCUUCCACGUCUGUUCACUCUGCAGACGCCCAUGGAAAGAUAGUCCAGAGCAUGAGACCAUCACUGCCUCUGCUUUCAAGAUGUGCAAAAACUCGAGAGACUCAUGGGAAAUUGUGUCCCUGCAGUCUUCACUGAGUUACAUGUUUCUGUUGCCAAUUGGAAAAACCUGUCAUUGUGUCAUUAAGGUAGCUAGUCGCUGCUACUCUGGGUUUCGUGUGUCACUUGCUAAUGUGUUGGACUUAUGUAUCUUAGAAAAAGUAAGAAAGGAUUGAAUGGCCUCA